rnacentral:lncRNA from 1 species
GAGGGGACAUGUCCCACAGAGAGAUCAUGGGUUAAGACAAGAAGUCACGUGGCAAAAAGGAGCAGUCUUUGUUUUCCUGAAAAGCUCACUCUCUCGAGACCUAACUGGAGUCCUGGGAAUGGCACAUGGAUCUCUUCUGAAGACACCCCAGUGGUCUAACCGCGUUCCACCAGGUUCUAGAGCAGAUUGGCUGAACUACUCUACAGAGGAUGCUGUUCCUCUCACAGCCAUAGGCUGACACAUAAGCAGCCCCGAGCCAGGCGCAGGAUGCUGCCUCUCAAGCUGUGAGGCAGGGACAUCGGUCCCAGAAGAUCCCCAAGCAAUGGGAGCUAUUGCCAUUGUUCUUGGCUGUCCACCAGAGCUUGAGCAUCAGACCCUGUUGCUGAAGACUCCACAGCACUGGACACAGGACAUGAAGACAUCAGUGGUAUUGACGGAGAAGCUCCCGCCUUGCUCGUUAGUUUUCAUACUAAUGGAAGGGGCUAUGUAAGCUGCUGGGGUGGGAGGGAGUAAAGAUCAGUGCUACCCAGCACUGUGGACACUGCAAGCUACA